rnacentral:rRNA from 1 species
GACGAACGCUGGCGGCGUGCUUAACACAUGCAAGUCGAACGGAGUGGCGAACGGGUGAGUAACACGUGGGUGAUCUGCCUUGCACUUCGGGAUAAGCUUGGGAAACUGGGUCUAAUACCGGAUAGUGCAAGAUGAGCUCGCGGCCUAUCAGCUUGUUGGUGGGGUAAUGGCCUACCAAGGGGUCGACGGGUAGCCGGCCCGGGAGGGUGUGCGGCCACAGUGGGACUGGGAUACGGCCCAGACUCAUACGGGGGGCAGCAGUGGGGAAUAGUGCACAAUGGGCGGAAGCGUAAUGCAGCGACGCGGCGUGGGGUAGGAAGGUGUUCGGGUUGUAAACUCCUUUCGACAGGGACGCGGUACCUGUAUAAGAAGCACCGGCUAACUACGUGCCAGCAGCCGCGGUAAUAC